rnacentral:rRNA from 1 species
UACGUAGGGGGCAAGCGUUGUCCGGGUUUAUUGGGCGUAAAGAGCGUGUAGGCGGUCAGGUAGGUCGGUUGUGAAAACUGGAGGCUCAACCUUCAGACGUCGGCCGAAACCAUCUGGCUAGAGUCCGGAAGAGGAGAGUGGAAUUCCUGGUGUAGCGGUGAAAUGCGCAGAUAUCAGGAAGAACACCCGUGGCUAAGGCGGCUCUCUAGUACGGUACUGACGCUGAGACGCGAAAGCGUGGGGAGCGAACAGG